GAUGAACGCUGGCGGCGUGCCUAAUACAUGCAAGUCGAGCGAACAGACGAGGAUCUUGCUCCUCUGACGUUAGCGGCGGACGGGUGAGUAACACGUGGAUAACCUACCUAUAAGACUGGGAUAACUUCGGGAAACCGGAGCUAAUACCGGAUAAUAUAUUGAACCGCAUGGUUCAAUAGUGAAAGACGGUUUUGCUGUCACUUAUAGAUGGAUCCGCGCCGCAUUAGCUAGUUGGUAAGGUAACGGCUUACCAAGGCAACGAUGCGUAGCCGACCUGAGAGGGUGAUCGGCCACACUGGAACUGAGACACGGUCCAGACUCCUACGGGAGGCAGCAGUAGGGAAUCUUCCGCAAUGGGCGAAAGCCUGACGGAGCAACGCCGCGUGAGUGAUGAAGGUCUUCGGAUCGUAAAACUCUGUUAUUAGGGAAGAACAAAUGUGUAAGUAACUAUGCACGUCUUGACGGUACCUAGUCAGAAAGCCACGGCUAACUACGUG
rnacentral:rRNA from 1 species